ACUACUGGCGAGAUCGACUGACAUGCACCAGAUCUGUUCUUAUCAGAGUAAUAUCUGAUAUGUCGCUACGGCGACGAUUCAAUAUUCACCAUUUUUGGAACCAGCUGCUAGACCUCUGAGCUUGCUCACGUCUGCGCGGCACCGUGUCGCUGGUAUUGCACUGCCUCCAGCUGACGCGACUCAUC
rnacentral:snRNA from 1 species